UACAGAACGCCCGGGCUUCGGCCUGGUUAUUCAUAACCCUUUGUUGUCCGACUCUGUUGCCUCCGGGGCGACCCUGCCUUCGGGCGGGGGCUCCGGGUGGACACUUCAAACUCUUGCGUAACUUUGCAGUCUGAGUAAACUUAAUUAAUAAAUUAAAACUUUUAACAACGGAUCUCUUGGUUCUGGCAUCGAUGAAGAACGCAGCGAAAUGCGAUAAGUAAUGUGAAUUGCAGAAUUCAGUGAAUCAUCGAAUCUUUGAACGCACAUUGCGCCCCCUGGUAUUCCGGGGGGCAUGCCUGUUCGAGCGUCAUUUCACCACUCAAGCCUCGCUUGGUAUUGGGCAACGCGGUCCGCCGCGUGCCUCAAAUCGUCCGGCUGGGUCUUCUGUCCCCUAAGCGUUGUGGAAACUAUUCGCUAAAGGGUGUUCGGGAGGCUACGCCGUAAAACAACCCCAUUUCUAAGGUUGACCUCGGAUCAGGUAGGGAUACCCGCUGAACUUAAGCAUAUC
rnacentral:rRNA from 1 species